rnacentral:rRNA from 1 species
AUGUCAUUGACCACCAAUGUCGAUGUGUUUAAGCCGCCCCGCAGAGGCUAUUACUGGAGUUAUUACAUCAUCACAAGUUCUAUGGAGCUAGAGUCCGCCCUGGCGCAAACCUAUCCGGUGGUGCUCAUGUUCUGGGCGAGCUGGAACGAGCCGUGCAGGGUGAUGAUGAGACCCUUCAGGGCCAUGGCUGUGGCGAAGAGGAGGGCCGCCAUAUUCUGCCAGGUGGAUGUCGACAAGUUUAAAGAUAUCGUGGAGUGGUACCGAGUGGAGGCGCUGCCGACGUUCCUGCUGCUCAAGCAAGGCGUGGAGAAGGGCAGGGUCGUCGGCGCCAAGGUCCGGGACCUCAGCACCAUCAUCAUGGCCAACAUAUGA